rnacentral:rRNA from 2 species
GAAGGUGUGUCGUGAGGCAUGCUGGAGGUAUCAGAAGUGCGAAUGCUGACAUAAGUAACGAUAAAGCGGGUGAAAAGCCCGCUCGCCGGAAGACCAAGGGUUCCUGUCCAACGUUAAUCGGGGCAGGGUGAGUCGACCCCUAAGGCGAGGCCGAAAGGCGUAGUCGAUGGGAAACGGGUUAAUAUUCCCGUACUUGGUGUUACUGCGAAGGGGGGACGGAGAAGGCUAUGUUGGCCGGGCGACGGUUGUCCCGGUUUAAGCGUGUAGGUGUGUGUUCCAGGUAAAUCCGGUUCACUUUAACACUGAGGCGUGACGACGAGGCACUACGGUGCUGAAGCAACAAAUGCCCUGCUUCCAGGAAAAGCCUCUAAGCAUCAGGUAACAUCAAAUCGUACCCCAAACCGACACAGGUGGUCAGGUAGAGAAUACCAAGGCGCUUGAGAGAACUCGGGUGAAGGAACUAGGCAAAAUGGUGCCGUAACUUCGGGAGAAGGCACGCUGACACGUAGGUGAAGUGAUUUACUCAUGGAGCUGAAGUCAGUCGAAGAUACCAGCUGGCUGCAACUGUUUAUUAAAAACACAGCACUGUGCAAACACGAAAGUGGACGUAUACGGUGUGACGCCUGCCCGGUGCCGGAAGGUUAAUUGAUGGGGUCAGCGCAAGCGAAGCUCCUGAUCGAAGCCCCGGUAAACGGCGGCCGUAACUAUAACGGUCCUAAGGUAGCGAAAUUCCUUGUCGGGUAAGUUCCGACCUGCACGAAUGGCGUAAUGAUGGCCAGGCUGUCUCCACCCGAGACUCAGUGAAAUUGAACUCGCUGUGAAGAUGCAGUGUACCCGCGGCAAGACGGAAAGACCCCGUGAACCUUUACUAUAGCUUGACACUGAACAUUGAGCCUUGAUGUGUAGGAUAGGUGGGAGGCUUUGAAGUGUGGACGCCAGUCUGCAUGGAGCCGACCUUGAAAUACCACCCUUUAAUGUUUGAUGUUCUAACGUGGACCCGUUACCCGGGUUGCGGACAGUGUCUGGUGGGUAGUUUGACUGGGGCGGUCUCCUCCUAAAGAGUAACGGAGGAGCACGAAGGUUGGCUAAUCCUGGUCGGACAUCAGGAGGUUAGUGCAAUGGCAUAAGCCAGCUUGACUGCGAGCGUGACGGCGCGAGCAGGUGCGAAAGCAGGUCAUAGUGAUCCGGUGGUUCUGAAUGGAAGGGCCAUCGCUCAACGGAUAAAAGGUACUCCGGGGAUAACAGGCUGAUACCGCCCAAGAGUUCAUAUCGACGGCGGUGUUUGGCACCUCGAUGUCGGCUCAUCACAUCCUGGGGCUGAAGUAGGUCCCAAGGGUAUGGCUGUUCGCCAUUUAAAGUGGUACGCGAGCUGGGUUUAGAACGUCGUGAGACAGUUCGGUCCCUAUCUGCCGUGGGCGCUGGAGAACUGAGGGGGGCUGCUCCUAGUACGAGAGGACCGGAGUGGACGCAUCACUGGUGUUCGGGUUGUCAUGCCAAUGGCACUGCCCGGUAGCUAAAUGCGGAAGAGAUAAGUGCUGAAAGCAUCUAAGCACGAAACUUGCCCCGAGAUGAGUUCUCCCUGAGACUUAGAGUCUCCUGAAGGAACGUUGAAGACGACGACGUUGAUAGGCCGGGUGUGUAAGCGCAGCGAUGCGUUGAGCUAACCGGUACUAAUGAACCGUGAGGCUUAACCUU